rnacentral:rRNA from 1 species
GGCUCAGAGCGAACGCUGGCGGCAGGCUUAACACAUGCAAGUCGAGCGGACCUUUCGGGGUCAGCGGCGGACGGGUGAGUAACGCGUGGGAACGUGCCUUCUGGUUCGGAAUAACCCUGGGAAACUAGGGCUAAUACCGGAUACGCCCUUUUGGGGAAAGGUUUACUGCCGGAAGAUCGGCCCGCGUCUGAUUAGCUAGUUGGUGGGGUAACGGCCUACCAAGGCGACGAUCAGUAGCUGGUCUGAGAGGAUGAUCAGCCACACUGGGACUGAGACACGGCCCAGACUCCUACGGGAGGCAGCAGUGGGGAAUAUUGGACAAUGGGCGCAAGCCUGAUCCAGCCAUGCCGCGUGAGUGAUGAAGGCCUUAGGGUUGUAAAGCUCUUUUAUCCGGGACGAUAAUGACGGUACCGGAGGAAUAAGCCCCGGCUAACUUCGUGCCAGCAGCCGCGGUAAUACGAAGGGGGCUAGCGUUGCUCGGAAUCACUGGGCGUAAAGGGCGCGUAGGCGGCGUUUUAAGUCGGGGGUGAAAGCCUGUGGCUCAACCACAGAAUGGCCUUCGAUACUGGGACGCUUGAGUAUGGUAGAGGUUGGUGGAACUGCGAGUGUAGAGGUGAAAUUCGUUGAUAUUCGCAAGAACACCGGUGGCGAAGGCGGCCAACUGGACCAUUACUGACGCUGAGGCGCGAAA